rnacentral:tRNA from 1 species
ACCUGGCUGUCUCAGUAGGAAGAGCUUGUGACUCUUGAUCUUGGAGUUGUGAGUUCGAGCCUCAUGUUGGGUA